rnacentral:RNase_P_RNA from 2 species
GAGAGGUGGUGGACGGCUUACCGUAAGGAGGAAAGUCCCCCCACCCAUAAAAGGUGGGUCCCGCAAGGGGCAUCCCCGAGAGGGGAUCGGGUGGAACAGAAAAUCCCCGGCGGAGGGAUAUGCGAUGAAGCUGAAAAGCCUAGAUCACCUCCGCUGGUUGAAAAAAGCCGCCCGCCACCGGGUGCAAGGCUCAAGGCCGCUCAGACUGAUGCCGUCGGAACAGAAGGGGGCUUACUACCACCACUC